rnacentral:sRNA from 1 species
GUAACAAAGCUAUUUACUGCUUCUAAGCAAAGUUUUCUUGGUUUUAGCCUCUUUUGGGAGAAAAUUGGUAUAAGU